rnacentral:rRNA from 1 species
UACGUAGGGCGCAUGCGUUGUCCGGAAUUAUUGGGCGUAAAGAGCUCGUAGGCGGUCUGUCGCGUCUGCCGUGAAAACCCGAGGCUUAACCUCGUGGCUUGCGGUGGAUACGGGCAGACUAGAGGUAGGUAGGGGAGAAUGGAAUUCCCGGUGUAGCGGUGAAAUGCGCAGAUAUCGGGAGGAACACCAGUGGCGAAGGCGGUUCUCUGGGCCUUACCUGACGCUGAGGAGCGAAAGCGUGGGGAGCGAACAGG